rnacentral:rRNA from 1 species
GAUGAACGCUGGCGGCGUGCCUAAUACAUGCAAGUCGAGCGAACGGACGAGAAGCUUGCUUCUCUGAUGUUAGCGGCGGACGGGUGAGUAACACGUGGAUAACCUACCUAUAAGACUGGGAUAACUUCGGGAAACCGGAGCUAAUACCGGAUGAUAUUUUGAACCGCAUGGUUCAAAAGUGAAAGACGGUCUUGCUGUCACUUAUAGAUGGAUCCGCGCUGCAUUAGCUAGUUGGUAAGGUAACGGCUUACCAAGGCAACGAUGCAUAGCCGACCUGAGAGGGUGAUCGGCCACACUGGAACUGAGACACGGUCCAGACUCCUACGGGAGGCAGCAGUAGGGAAUCUUCCGCAAUGGGCGAAAGCAUGACGGAGCAACGCCGCGUGAGUGAUGAAGGUCUUCGGAUCGUAAAACUCUGUUAUUAGGGAAGAACAUAUGUGUAAGUAACUGUGAACAUCUUGACGGUACCUAAUCAGAAAGCCACGGCUAACUACGUG